CUUUCAUUCUUGUCUUAGUAUUGGUUAAAUAUAAAUAAUUCUCAUGCAAAGUAUUCAUUAAAAUGUUACUUUUUAACUAUGCCUAGUAUUAUCCUCUCAACUGUCAGAAAAUAGUUAUCAAUUUACUGUGUGACUUUGGAAGAGAUCAUGAAAGCUUUCUUCACUGGACUUGGCAGAAGCCUCAUGGGGCAGCAGCUCAUAUGAAAUGAUAAUGACUUGUCUUUUAUUAAAUUCCUUCAUUUUAUGCUCUAAGUAAUACACUGUUGUCUAGUGCUGUGAUUGAAGGAGGUAAGUGUGGAACUGGUCCUUUCCUGGGCUGAUGGAGGAUACAACCAAAAUACACUCAAUUAUUCUGUGAUUCCCAGCCAUACAUAAAAUACCAGAAAUAACAGCUAAGCAAAGAAAUAUUAUCAGUAAGUGCUACACACUGGGAUGGACCAGGACUGAGAGUCUUCUCCAUACCAGGAGACUGCCCCAGCAGUGUGUUACUCUGCCUUCCUGCUGCUCCACAUCAGUGUUGCAGUGGGAGAUGUUUUGUGGUGCUAAAGUAUGAAUUAAACCUAUGACAUCUGUUUUUUUGAACCCACUCUCACAUAUUUAUGUUCUCCAUUAAGGAUGGCCUGUUCAUAAGCAGGUAUUAAGUCAAUAUUCAUUCCACACGGUGCUUGGACAGACAGCCUACAGCUCAGUGCUCUGACAGAGACAACAGUCUACAGCCUGCAGAUAUAGGCUUAUGCCAGGUGCCACAGGGAUAUCUGUAACCCAUCCUAAUAUACUCUCUUCCUUCUACAAAAUGGGCAAGACACCACUGAAGCCAAAAAGCAAACAUUAACUUUUCUGCAUACUGUCUUCAGAAAGUACAAAAAAAAGUUAGGUUUGUUGGCACUUCCAUCGUGGAAUAUUAUCAGCUGGAGAUCGAUGGCCUUCAGGCAUCUGAAAAUCUGCAAGUCACAGAAGAAUUUGUGUCAGAAGAAUACACUGAAGACCAUGUAUUCCAAAAGCAAAUUGAACUCCAGAUGUGGUCUGACAAGUGUCAAGCAAAGGGACACAGUCACACUCAUCAAUCUUCUA
rnacentral:lncRNA from 1 species